UACGUAUGGUGCAAGCGUUAUCCGGAUUUACUGGGCGUAAAGGGAGCGCAGGCGGCGCGCCAAGUCUGAUGUGAAACCCCGGGGCUCAACCCCGGGCAUGCAUUGGAAACUGGCGGGCUGGAGUGCCGGAGAGGUAAGCGGAAUUCCUAGUGUAGCGGUGAAAUGCGUAGAUAUUAGGAGGAACACCAGUGGCGAAGGCGAUUUGCUGGGCCAUUACUGACGCUCAUGCACGAAAGCGUGGGGAGCAAAUAGG
rnacentral:rRNA from 1 species